rnacentral:rRNA from 1 species
UACAGAGGUCUCAAGCGUUGUUCGGAUUCAUUGGGCGUAAAGGGUGCGUAGGCGGCGCGGUAAGUCGGGUGUGAAAUCUUGGAGCUUAACUCCGAAACUGCAUUCGAUACUGCCGUGCUUGAGGACUGGAGAGGAGACUGGAAUUUACGGUGUAGCGGUGAAAUGCGUAGAGAUGUGGAGGAACACCGGUGGCGAAGGCGGCCUUCUGGACAGUGACUGACGCUGAGACGCGAAAGCGUGGGGAGCAAACAGG